rnacentral:rRNA from 1 species
UCAGGACGAACGCUGGCGGCGCGCCUAACACAUGCAAGUCGAACGGAGAGCGUGUUUGAAUUCUUCGGAAGGAAAGAUACGUUCUUAGUGGCGGGACGGGUGAGUAACACGUGAGCAGCCUGCCUUGCAGAGAGGGAUAACGAUUGGAAACGAUCGCUAAUACCACAUAACAUACAGAUAUCGCAUGAUGACUGUAUACAAAAGUAUUUUAUCGCUGACAAGAGUGGGCUCGCGUCUGAUUAGAUAGUUGGUGAGGUAACGGCUCCACCAAGUCGACGAUCAGUAGCCGGACUGAGAGGUUGAACGGCCACAUUGGGACUGAGACACGGCCCAGACUCCUACGGGAGGCAGCAGUGGGGGAUAUUGCACAAUGGGGGGAAAAACCCCCUGAUGCAGCGACGCCGCGUGAGGGAAGAAGGUUUUCGGAUUGUAAACCUCUGUCUUUGGGGACGAUAAUGACGGUACCCAAGGAGGAAGCUCCGGCUAACUACGUGCCAGCCGCCGC